AUGACUAAGGUCCACGGUUCUUUGGCGGCCGUCGGAUGCCACACUGCAAAACUGCAGAGUGGUAUGCUAGAAAGAAGGAGACUACUGUUGAUUCCUGCAAUUAGUCUCACCAUUGGCUCCCUUCAGUACAGUCUGGAGAAGGGAGCAGCAAAAGCUGAAUUUACUGACAUGCCAGCGCUUCGUGGGAAGGAUUAUGGGAAGACGAAAAUGAGUUACCCAGAUUACACUGAAACAGAAUCAGGCCUCCAAUACAAGGACUUGCGGGUUGGAGAGGGCCCAUCCCCAAAGAAGGGAGAGACAGUAGUGAUUGAUUGGGAUGGGUACACAAUUGGAUACUACGGGCGCAUUUUUGAAGCUCGAAACAAGACCAAAGGUGGUUCGUUUGAGGGUGGUGAUAAAGAAUUCUUCAAGUUCAAGUUUGGAUCAGGACAGGUAAUACCAGCCUUUGAGGAGGCUAUGACAGGCAUGCGGCCAGGUGGAGUUAGAAGGAUAAUAGUAUCACCGGAUAUUGGAUACCCAGAUAAUGACUUGAACAAGUUAGGCCCAAAACCAACAACAUUUUCGGGACAAAGAGCUCUAGAUUUCGUUCUAAGGAAUCAAGGAUUAAUAGAUAAAACUCUCCUGUUUGACAUUGAGCUUAUCAGAAUAAUUCCAAGUCAAUAG
rnacentral:rRNA from 1 species